AUUGAACGCUGGCGGCAGGCCUAACACAUGCAAGUCGAACGAGUGGCGGACGGGUGAGUAAUGUCUGGGAAACUGCCUGAUGGAGGGGGAUAACUACUGGAAACGGAAGCUAAUACCGCAUACCAUCAGAUGUGCCCAGAUGGGCUUGGCUUGUUGGUGGGGUAACGGCUCACCAAGGCGACGAUCCCUAUCUGGUCUGAGAGGAUGACCAGCCACCCGGGAUCAGAGAGCCGGUCCAGACUCCGACGGGAGGCAGCGGUGGGGAAUAUUGCACAAUGGGCUCAAGCCUGAUGCAGCCAGUCCGCGUGUAUGAAGAAGGCCUUCGGGUUGUAAAGUACUUUCAGCGGGGAGGCGUUACCCGCAGAAGAAGCACCGGCUAACUCCGUGCCAGCAGCCGCGGUAAUUC
rnacentral:rRNA from 1 species